ACUCCUGCGGGAGGCAGCAGUGGGGAAUUUUGGACAAUGGGCGAAAGCCUGAUCCAGCAAUGCCGCGUGAGUGAAGAAGGCCUUCGGGUUGUAAAGCUCUUUUGUCAGGGAAGAAACGGUGAAAGCUAAUAUCUUUUGCUAAUGACGGUACCUGAAGAAUAAGCACCGGCUAACUACGUGCCAGCAGCCGCGGUAAUACGUAGGGUGCAAGCGUUAAUCGGAAUUACUGGGCGUAAAGCGUGCGCAGGCGGUUUUGUAAGUCUGAUGUGAAAUCCCCGGGCUCAACCUGGGAAUUGCAUUGGAGACUGCAAGGCUAGAAUCUGGCAGAGGGGGGUAGAAUUCCACGUGUAGCAGUGAAAUGCGUAGAUAUGUGGAGGAACACCGAUGGCGAAGGCAGCCCCCUGGGUCAAGAUUGACGCUCAUGCACGAAAGCGUGGGGAGCAAACAGGAUUAGAUACCCUGGUAGUCCCAUGA
rnacentral:rRNA from 1 species